rnacentral:rRNA from 1 species
AACGAACGCUGGCGGCAGGCUUAACACAUGCAAGUCGAACGCAUCCUUCGGGGUGAGUGGCAGACGGGUGAGUAACGCGUGGGAACGUGCCCUUCAGUUCGGGAUAACCCAGGGAAACUUGGGCUAAUACCGGAUACGUGCGAGAGCAGAAAGAUUUAUCGCUGAAGGAUCGGCCCGCGUCUGAUUAGCUAGUUGGUGGGGUAAUGGCCCACCAAGGCGACGAUCAGUGGCUGGUCUGAGAGGAUGAUCAGCCACAUUGGGACUGAGACACGGCCAAAACUCCUACGGGAGGCAGCAGUGUGGAAGAUUGGACAAUGGGCGCAAGCCUGAUCCAGCCCUGCCGCGUGAGUGAUGAAGGCCUUAGGGGUGUAAAGCUCUUUCGUCCGGGACGAUAAUGACGGUACCGGAAGAAGAAGCCCCGGCUAACUUCGUGCCAGCCGCCGCCGUAA